GAUGAAGAACGUAGCGAAAUGCGAUAAGUAAUGUGAAUUGCAGAAUUCAGUGAAUCAUCGAAUCUUUGAACGCACAUUGCGCCCGCCAGUAUUCUGGCGGGCAUGCCUGUUCGAGCGUCAUUACAACCCUCAAGCCCCCCGGCUUGGUGUUGGGGACCGGCCACCGGUGCCCUGCUGCUUCCGCGGCAGGCGCACCCGGCCGCCCCCGAAAUGAAUUGGUGGCCCCGUCGCGGCCUCCCUCUGCGUAGUAGCACACAUCUCGCAGCUGGAGCGCGGCGCGGCCACUGCCGUAAAACGCACCAACUUUUUUUACAGUUGACCUCGAAUCAGGUAGGAAUACCCGCUGAACUUAAGCAUAUCAAUAAGCGGAGGA
rnacentral:misc_RNA from 1 species